GCCGUCGUAGCGCAACGGAUAGCGCGCCCGCCUCCUACGCGGGGUCCGUCCGGGUUCGAGUCCCGGCGACGGCUCCA
rnacentral:tRNA from 1 species